AGUGCUCAUUUUGGCAGCACUUUAUGCUAAAACUGAAACAACACAGGACGAUUACCAUGGCCCCUGUGCAAGGAUGAUACACAAAUCCAUGAAAUCCUUCAUAAACAG